rnacentral:lncRNA from 1 species
GAAAAACAAAGAAAGAAAUGAUUCCAGGACUUGAAACAAAAGCAAUUCUCAGCGAGCUGUUUUGUUCCAAAUUCCUGCUCUGCACCUUAGUUUCAACUUCUGUCACGCAACCUACUGAAAAGGAUUCAGUCUGGUGCUGCCAUUGCACUGUUCCAGAAGCAACGGUUCCUUCUCAUACCUUCCUGUCCCUUGAAUAGCCUACUACAGAAACACAGUGUGGACCCCUGUUUAUUAGCAGACCUGAACAGGGACAAUCUGCCCUGCCUUGUUUUCAGCAAUGACUACAGAGCUCAUGGACAGUCACAUGCUUCAGAGUGAGAUCCACAAAAAGCAGCUGAUGAGAAGAGUUUUGUUAAGCCAACUUCUGAAAUCCUGCCUCUUCAAAGACUUACAUGCCCAUCUCAGUACCUUGGAGAGACUUCCAGAUGAAAAAAGACCCA